rnacentral:rRNA from 1 species
UACGUAGGGCGCAAGCGUUAUCCGGAAUUAUUGGGCGUAAAGAGCUCGUAGGCGGUUUGUCGCGUCUGCCGUGAAAGUCCGGGGCUCAACUCCGGAUCUGCGGUGGGUACGGGCAGACUAGAGUGAUGUAGGGGAGACUGGAAUUCCUGGUGUAGCGGUGAAAUGCGCAGAUAUCAGGAGGAACACCGGUGGCGAAGGCGGAUCCCUGGGCCGAUACUGACGCUGAGACGCGAAAGCGUGGGGAGCAAACAGG